AGGAUGAACGCUGGCGGCGUGCCUAACACAUGCAAGUCGAACGUCCUGUCUCGCAAGAGGCAGGGAGUGGCGGACGGGUGAGUACCACGUGGGUCAUCUACCGUGAGGUGAGGAAUACCGGCGAGAAAUCGCCGACAAGACCGCAUAGCCUCGGUGCAAGUCGAGGAAAGCUCUCUCGAGAGAGGGAGCGCCACACGAGGAGCCUGCGCCCGAUUAGCUAGCUGGUGGAGUAAUGGUUCACCAGGGCGACGAUCGGUAGCUGGUCUGAGAGGACGAUCAGCCACACUGGGAUUGAGAACGGCCCAGACUCCUACGGGGGGCAGCAGUGAGGAAUUUUCGGCAAUGGGGGAAACCCUGACCGAGCAACGCCGCGUGCAGGAAGACGGCCUCGGUUGUAAACUGCUUUCUUUGGACGAGCAAGGACGGUACCAGAGGAAUCAGCCCGGCUCACUACGUGCCAGCAGCCGCGGU
rnacentral:rRNA from 1 species